UUAGAACUCUGCUUUCUAAAAGACCUCUAAGUUUGAAAAAUCAGUCCCUAUGAUCUGAUACAGAUUAGCUUGAAGGGGGAAGAAAAACUUUUUCAGGUGAUGUUUGUCUGCUAAAAGGACACUGGUCUUUCUAAGAAAGAAGCAGAAUGAGUUUAUUUUUAAAGUGAACUUGAUGGGGGGAAGGAGAAGCAAAGGCAUAUAAACAAUAUAGCAAUGACGCAAGACAUAGACAAGACUGACCAAUGGAAAGAGGAAACCACAAAGAUCUAAAAGGACACCAAAAAAAAAAAAAAAACAAAAACACGAAACCUGACUUCACUUAUUUUCCCCCAGAUAUUGGUGCUGCAAAUUUAUUUUAAAUGGAGGCAGGCUGGCUUUUUACUAAAAGAUGAAGAAAAGGAACCAAUUAAAAUAGAAACUCCUUCCCAGGUAGAAUCAGAAAUAAAGCAGCCUCAUUUAACGUCAACUUACAUUCCUUCAUCUGUGGAUGCUUUGCUCUCUGGCUUGGUUCUUUUGGAUAAUAAUGCCAAGGUCCUACCCAUCACAGGAAUCGUGAUUGGAAUCCACCAGCCCAGCACCCCGUACUCUGGUGCCCCAAGUGAUUACAUGUGAGCCUCCCAGAAAGAACAAAUAUUGCUCUUGCCACUCCUCUCCAAUGCUGACAGGACUGAGUCCUGGGGCAAGUGGAUCCGGGAAUUGCAUUGCAGACAAUUUCGCAGUAAUUCCCUGUCUGGAGAAGCACACCAGUUAACACUAGACUGUCACAGCCCUAGGAGAGCUGUAGGUAUGCAUCAUGGCUUCUGUGAUCUCAGAACUGUUUCUCUGACCAGCAAAAGAAGAGAUGAAAAUGCUCCUCUUGACCUCUAUCUGCACUACACCAGAAACGUCAUUGAGCCAGUUUCUUCUAAGGAGAUAACAGAAACUUUCUAUGCAAGGCUGUGGGGGGCUGGUAAUAUAAGGCUAGGAGGAUAAAGCUCCUUACUAAUAAACAAGCUGACACUGAAUAACAUGGCAUCUAUGUGGAACAUGGUUUGAAAACAUUUUAAGACCAUUCAUAGACAUCUGAGACCACUCAUAGUUUCUUCCUCCCAAGGCUGUGAAAUAAAAUUCAAAAGUACA